UCACCUGCAGGGCGAACUCUGCUGGAGAAGCUGUUCAGCCAGCAGGAGAACGGACCUCCAGAAGAAGCAGAGAAGUUCUGCUCACGGAUCAUUGCCAUGGGCCUCCUGCUUCCUUUUAGUGACUGCUUCAGGGACCCGUGUAAUCAGAGUGCCCAGUCAAGUUCAGCUCCAUUUGAUCUGCCAUUCACCAAGAGAGCUAAAACCGCGGAACAGUAAUUCAAGCUGCAUAUUCAUAAUUCAGGACGAAUAUCAGCACAGCUGGAUUAUCAUUUUCAAGCCACAGUAUUGCUAAUCUCUCAGACUUCUUUAAUUUUUAUGCUGUUGAUCAAGGAGUGAAAUGAUGAUGAGUUUUGAAAGACAAUGAAAAUGAGCCCUGGCUGAGAUCAAGAUGCAAUCAAUACUAAAUAACCAAAUGUCCGUAUGUGCCUGUUUUUAUUUUUCUGCUUUUUUACCCAUUACAAACUGUGGUUUUCCUUGAUCUUCCUUCAGUAUUAGGAAAAUAAAUUGCAUAAGGUAUUGUGAGACCAUUUUGGUAACUUCUCACGUGAAAGAAGACUCCUCAGGAUGUGCUGUGACUUGUGAAGCUUCCUUCUUAAGACUUAUCUGUUUAUUUUUUUAAUGAUCUGGCAGCUAAUCUCUGCUAGGUAGAUCUUUUUCUUCCAUGAGAAGAAUGGGAUGAUUCAAAUGAUUUCCUCCCUUCCCUUUGUCCUCCGCAAGCGGUGUGAGGAGUACGGUGGGCUAAAAGUGCUGUAGAGCUGUGUUCUGAGUUGGAAUUAAAGUGAAUGCAGUACAAAGGCAAACACUAGCUGUGUCUAAUGCUUGCUUUUUAAUUAAAACUCUCUGGGUUGUCUGCUCUGUCCUCCCUUAAAGCUCAGAGGUAAAGUCUUAUUCUGUAAAUGUGAAGUUGGAGUAAACUGAAAAGAGUAGGAUAAUUCUAA